CCUACGGGAGGCAGCAGUCGAGAAUCAUUCACAAUGGGGGAAACCCUGAUGGUGCGACGCCGCGUGGGGGAAUGAAGGUCUUCGGAUUGUAAACCCCUGUCAUGUGGGAGCAAAUUAAAAAGAUAGUACCACAAGAGGAAGAGACGGCUAACUCUGUGCCAGCAGCCGCGGUAAUACAGAGGUCUCAAGCGUUUUUCGGAAUCACUGGGCGUAAAGCGUGCGUAGGCUGUUUCGUAAGUCGUGUGUGAAAGGCGCGGGCUCAACCCGCGGGAGGCACAUGGAACUGGCAGAACUGGGGAAUGGGAGGGGAACCGGAAUUCUCGGUGUAGCAGUGAAAUGCGUAGAGAUCGAGAGGAACACUCGUGGCGAAGGCGGGUUCCUGGACAUUAACUGACGCUGAGGCACGAAGGCCAGGGGAGCGAAAGGGAUUAGAUACCCGGGUAGUC
rnacentral:rRNA from 1 species